GGGCAGGCAGGGCGGGGUGCAGAUCGACCCCUGGGAAGAUCCCGACUUCAGCAUCUACAAAGUCAUCGACCGCUUCGGCUUCAUGCAUGAAGACGAGCUGCCGGCCCCGACGGCACACGAGGAAAAGAGGAAGCAGCUGGAGAUCGAGAGGGUGGAGAAGUGGCUGAAGAUGGUGAAGAAGUGGGACAAAUACAAGAACAGUGACAGGGU